rnacentral:lncRNA from 10 species
GCGCCCCGGGUGCUUCCAGCGGUCCGGGUCCGCUGACAAAGCGCUGACCCACCCCGCUCACGGUCCGCUUCCGCAGUCCGCGUGCGGCUCCAGGGAGCUGUCCGCCCCGGUGGUUCUGAACCAGGCGCCGCCGAAAUGCUCCAGGAGUACCCAGGGAGCAAGAGAAGCCCUGAGACAGCAGCAAGGGACACUGUGGGGCUGCAGGGUGCUGAAGAGCCAGGACAGGAGGACUUCUUCGGGAGAUCAGUCCCCUGUCCUUGCCCUCACUCCAUGAGGAGAUCCACCUAUG